UCCUGCCCUGAGCAAGGGCUGGACUAGACCAACCCUUCUGAGGGCCCUGCCAGCCAGCUCUGCAGGGACCCUGAGGCCUGUGGGGUCCUGCCCCAGCCUCCUGCAGACCCUGAAGCACCAUGCCCAUGGCUCCCUGUGCCCAUUAGAGCCUUCAGCCAGUGCCUGCCCAUGGAGAGGAGGGAAACACCAUGGAGAGGAGGCCUUAACCCCAUGGAACAGACUCAGCUCAUGCUUGGAUACCAGAGGCCCAGUGAGAGACCUAUUGGGGGGAGCAGGAUCCGGCCCAGGCUCCCUGCACAACUGCCAAAGACAGGGCCUGACACAGGCUGCUUUGUGAUUUAGGUCCCAUGCCAGUCCUUCACCAUAGAGACCAGGGAUGGGCAGGGAAUAAAUCCUAGCCACCAGUGCUUUCUGACCAGUCUCAGCACAGCCUGAGAGACUCAGCAGAGGUGUAGAGAGAUGAUUAGUUGUUUGGAUAGAGUUGGAGUUAGGAGAGGUGAUAGAUUAGAGAUAACAGAUAGAGAGUAGCUAGUAGAGACUUGUAGAGAGAUUGUAGAGAGAAUAGAGUAGACAGUAGAUAGGGGGGCAGCUAGGAGUACAUACGCAGUAAAUAAGCAGGGAGAGUAGAGUUGAGUAGAUAGAAUAGGUAAUAGAUUAUAGGAGAUGAUAGAUAAGGAAGAUGGAGGGCAGUGGCCCCAGCGGAGCAGCAAGGUGAGUGAUUGGAGGGAUGAGUCCCAGCACCAGCCCCACUGGGAAGCGUCAGCCUGGUGCUGGAGCUGGUGCAUGCUGCUGCCCAGACUGGAGCUCAGGUCCUUGGAGCCUCGCAGUCCAGCACCUGGCUGCUCACUGCCAUCUCUCACUCUCCAUUUCAGACCAGCUGCUCCAGCCUACGCGGCAAGAAGGAACGGCAGAUACGCUGCCCAGUGUGGCUCCCCCAACUGCAGACACAGAGAGGACCUCAGGUGCUGCUGACUCCCAGCCUCCUCCCGGCAGCUCUGGACCAACCCAGAGACUUGUCUGGGUGCGGGCUUCUCUCCAACUGCACCCACCAUGCUGCCAGGAAGAAAGCAAAGAUGUGGGGACAGGUGAUGUGCCAGCUGCUGCACCCCACAUCACUGAGGCACAGACAGGAGCUGCCAAGGAUGAGUGUGCAGGGAGUGGUAGGUCCCCUGGCCGGCUGUUCCCCCAGGACAGGGGUGGCCCGUGUCCAGGGGCUGCCAGGUAUGGCCCCCGCCAGGCUCCCUGCUCUAUGGGACCCAGAGGCUUGAGGGGUUCUGCCCCUGGCUUCCAGGGGAGGGCACUGCUGGUGCAGUGACUGUCCCCUCUU